rnacentral:rRNA from 1 species
GACGAACGCUGGCGGCGUGCCUAAUACAUGCAAGUCGAGCGCAGGAAGCUGGCGGAACUCUUCGGAGGGAAGGCAGUGGAAUGAGCGGCGGACGGGUGAGUAACACGUAAGGAACCUGCCUCAAGGAUUGGGAUAACUCCGAGAAAUCGGAGCUAAUACCGGAUAGUUCAACGGACCGCAUGGUCCGCUGAUGAAAGGCGCUCCGGCGUCACCUUGAGAUGGCCUUGCGGUGCAUUAGCUAGUUGGUGGGGUAACGGCCCACCAAGGCGACGAUGCAUAGCCGACCUGAGAGGGUGAUCGGCCACACUGGGACUGAGACACGACCCAGACUCCUACGGGAGGCAGCAGUAGGGAAUCUUCCACAAUGGACGAAAGUCUGAUGGAGCAACGCCGCGUGAGUGAUGAAGGUUUUCGGAUCGUAAAACUCUGUUGUAAGGGAAGAACACGUACGAGAGGAAAUGCUCGUACCUUGACGGUACCUUACGAGAAAGCCACGGCUAACUACGUGCCAGCCGCCGCCGUAA